CGCGCAGGCGGUUCUUUAAGUCUGAUGUGAAAGCCCACGGCUCAACCGUGGAGGGUCAUUGGAAACUGGAGAACUUGAGUACAGAAGAGGAAAGCGGAAUUCCACGUGUAGCGGUGAAAUGCGUAGAGAUGUGGAGGAACACCAGUGGCGAAGGCGGCUUUCUGGUCUGUAACUGACGCUGAGGCGCGAAAGCGUGGGGAGCAAACA
rnacentral:rRNA from 1 species